GACUAUGGUAAACAAAACAAAAAAGGACAACUAAUUUCAACAAACGGACUCAAUUAAACUGGUUAGAGCUGGAAAACAUGAAAGAUCUUUUAGUAUAAAUUCACUUACACACUAUGCUUUGCAUUUUUAUCGAGUUAAUCAGGGGCCCAAUCCUAUGAUCAUAGAGAGUUCAGAUUAACACCUUCUGACCAAUCAGGUUUGAGAAUGUUUUGAACACUACUGUGUUAAAAUAAAGCUAUGCAUCGUCACCAGAUGUUUAAGCUCAAAAUAUCACUCGCUGCAUUUAUAAUAUAUACUAGUGUCGUUGGUGCCAAUCAUUUUCAUCAAGGUCUUGAGGAGAAACUUACGUUGAGCUUUCACAGCAGAGCUUCGUCACAAAUGCAUUACUCUGUAAUAAUGACGGAAAACCUGCAGACGUUUACGCAGUUGUUGAGAGUCUUGGGAACUGGUCUGCAUUUUAGUUUUAUUUCUCAUUAACUCAUUAUGUCUCUCUUUUUCUCUUGAGGUUGACCUUUGACCCUGCUUCCACUUACAUAGUCGACGAGUCUAUGAGCAGCGCAGUUUAUCACCAGCCGGAGCUCUGUGCCCAUCGGCAGGCCCAGUGGGCAGCAGGAUGACCUCCUCUAGCAGGUUGAGCUUUCCAGCUGAUGCUUUUCCACAACUUAAGACUGAUACCAGCGGCAUGGGCAUGAACACUCUUAGAGCCUGAGAAAGAUCAGUGGAAAAGAGAAGAAGAAAAUACAAUCACAGCAGAGGUGUGGAAAUACACAGAAUGAGAGAGAGAGGGAACGGGAAGGAGGUCUCUGAGAGUGAGGAUGUGUUUAUAGAGGGGUAUGGCUGCGAGGCUUGCUGCAGAUUUGGCUGCUGCCAUUGACAGAGCACCAACUACCAUCGCCCCUGGCAACAUAGGCUCCGGUUUCUCAGGAGGAGGCAGCGGCU